rnacentral:rRNA from 1 species
CGAAUAGGGGAGGCGCAGCGAAAGCGAGUCUGAUAAGGGCGCUUUAGUUGCUGGGCGUAGACCCGAAACCAGAUGAUCUAUCCAUGGCCAGGAUGAAGGUGCCGUAACAGGUACUGGAGGUCCGAACCCACAAAUGUUGAAAAAUUUGGGGAUGAGCUGUGGGUAGGGGUGAAAGGCUAAACAAAUCUGGAAAUAGCUGGUUCUCCCCGAAAGCUAUUUAGGUAGCGCCUCAUGUAUCACUCGCGGGGGUAGAGCACUGUAAUGGUUGGAGGGGUCAUUGCGAUCUACUCCGCCAUAGCAAACUCCGAAUACCGUGAAGUGCGAGCAUGGGAGACAGACGGUGGGUGCUAACGUCCAUCGUCAAGAGGGAAACAACCCAGACCGCCAGCUAAGGUCCCGAAGUCAUGGUUAAGUGGAAAACGAGGUGGGAAGGCAUAGACAGUCAGGAAGUUGGCUUAGAAGCAGCCAUCCUUCAAAGAAAGCGUAAUAGCUCACUGAUCGAGUCGUCCUGCGCGGAAGAUGUAACGGGGCUCAAACCAUGCACCGAAGCUGCGGAUGUGCGUAAGCACAUGGUAGGGGAGCGUUCUGUAGGUCUGCGAAGGUGUGGGGUAACCCAUGCUGGAGAUAUCAGAAGUGCGAAUGCUGACAUGAGUAGCGAUAAAGCGUGUGAAAAGCACGCUCGCCGAAAGCCCAAGGUUUCCUGCGCAACGUUCAUCGGCGCAGGGUGAGUCGGCCCCUAAGGCGAGGCCGAAAGGCGUAGUCGAUGGGAAACGGGUCAAUAUUCCCGUACCGGACAUGAUUGCGAUGGGGGGACGGAGAAGGCUAGGUGAGCCAGGCGUUGGUUGUCCUGGUGAAAGUGAGUAGGCCGAGGUGCUAGGAAAAUCCGGCACCUUAAAGCCGAGACACGAGAUGAACUGACCACGGUCAGGAAGUCACUGAUGCCACGCUUCCAGGAAAAGCCUCUAAGCUUCAGAUCAUGUGCGACCGUACCCCAAACCGACACAGGUGGUCAGGGUGAGAAUCCCAAGGCGCUUGAGAGAACUCGGGUGAAGGAACUAGGCAAAAUGGUGCCGUAACUUCGGGAGAAGGCACGCCGGCGUAGGGUGAUGAGACUUGCUCUCUAAGCCCGAACCGGUCGAAGAUACCAGGUGGCUGCAACUGUUUAGUAAAAACACAGCACUCUGCUAACUCGUAAGAGGACGUAUAGGGUGUGACGCCUGCCCGGUGCCGGAAGGUUAAAUGAUGGUGUUAGCCCUCGGGCGAAGCUCUUGAUUGAAGCCCCGGUAAACGGCGGCCGUAACUAUAACGGUCCUAAGGUAGCGAAAUUCCUUGUCGGGUAAGUUCCGACCUGCACGAAUGGCGUAAUGAUGGCCACGCUGUCUCCACCCGAGACUCAGUGAAAUUGAAAUCGCCGUGAAGAUGCGGUGUACCCGCGGCUAGACGGAAAGACCCCGUGAACCUUUACUAUAGCUUCACACUGGACGCUGAUGUUGCCUGUGUAGGAUAGCUGGGAGGCUUUGAAACCCGGACGCCAGUUCGAGUGGAGCCAACCUUGAAAUACCAGCCUGGCAUCAUUGGCGUUCUCACUCAGGUCCGUUAUCCGGAUCGAGGACAGUGUGUGGUGGGUAGUUUGACUGGGGCGGUCUCCUCCCAAAGAGUAACGGAGGAGCACGAAGGUACCCUCAGCACGGUCGGACAUCGUGCAGUGAGUGCAAGAGCAUAAGGGUGCUUGACUGCGAGACAGACACGUCGAGCAGGUGCGAAAGCAGGUUCUAGUGAUCCGGUGGUUCUGUAUGGAAGGGCCAUCGCUCAACGGAUAAAAGGUACUCCGGGGAUAACAGGCUGAUACCGCCCAAGAGUUCACAUCGACGGCGGUGUUUGGCACCUCGAUGUCGGCUCAUCACAUCCUGGGGCUGUAGCAGGUCCCAAGGGUAUGGGUGUUCGCCUUGUAACGUGGUCCGUGAGCUGGGUUUAAAACGUCGUGAGACAGUU